rnacentral:rRNA from 1 species
UACGUAGGGGGCGAGCGUUGUCCGGAUUUAUUGGGCGUAAAGAGCUCGUAGGCGGUUUUGUAAGUCGGGUGUGAAAUCUCCACGCUCAACGUGGAGGGGCCACUCGAUACUGCCAUGACUCGAGUCCGGUAGAGGAGUGUGGAAUUCCUGGUGUAGCGGUGAAAUGCGCAGAUAUCAGGAGGAGCACCAGCGGCGAAGGCGGCGCUCUGGGCCGGAACUGACGCUGAGGAGCGAAAGCGUGGGUAGCAAACAGG